rnacentral:rRNA from 1 species
UACGGGGGGGGCAAGCGUUGUUCGGAAUUACUGGGCGUAAAGGGCUCGUAGGCGGCCAACUAAGUCAUACGUGAAAUCCCUCGGCUUAACUUGGGAACUGCCAUUGAUACUAUCAGUCUUGAAUACCGUGGAGGUCAGCGGAAUAUGUCAUGUAGCGGUGAAAUGCUUAGAUAUGACAUAGAACACCAAUUGCGAAGGCAGCUGGCUACUCGGAUAUUGACACUGAGGCACGAAAGCGUGGGGAUCAAACAGG